UCAAGCCUAAGAGUAGCCAUUGUACUCUUUACGUGGAAACAGCAUUUGCUCCACAGAUAAACAUACUUAGAUAAAUUAACACUGCUACUAACGUUUUAGUUGGUUAAUAUAUGAAUGAUCAACACAGACGAUUAAUCACCUGGUUUGUCCUGAAACUAGCAAAACUAGUUAGGGUCCAUGUAUUUGAGCAUUCUGAAACAUCUCCAAAUAUAUACCCCAGUUUGUCUGGAAUGUUUUAUAAGCUUCACAGACUCCGAGAUGAUUCAUUACAAAAGGUUCUUUUGAAGAUCCUGACCUGGAGUUGCAUGCUGACUUUGCGGGAAUGGGACCCGCUCUUGAGUUGUCAUGACUGGCCACUAUCUGACAUGCCAAGGACAUGGCCUAAGAGUUUGGCUCGCCUUUGGAGACGUAGGAUAUCGGGGCUCUGGAGACAGGUGGAUUGAAGGUCAAUGUCCGACAGACCGGUGUGUCGUGGCAGCUAGAAGAUCUUUGGCUGUGUGCCCAGAAGCCUGAGAUCUUUGGGUACAGAACUCGGAAAAAGCGACGCAACGGACUUUUAACAUCGUAAACCAGCAAGUUGUCUGUUUGUUUGAAACGGAGACACCUCUUUCUCCCUUAUUAUACAGAGAGAUAACCUGUGGUUUCUGCCACAACAGAAGGAGGGCACACCCUGACUCCUGGUGAGCGGGCCAUAAGAAAAGAUCUGCAUAAGGCACCUUCGGGAACUCAGUGGAAAAUUCUUUAUCAAAAACUGUUAAUUACUUACUCAGCAGAGAAGGUAGAAGUUAAAAAUGAAUGAGUACAUGCUCGCCACUGCAAGUGAGCUAAAGCAGUACCCAACCAGUACAAUAAACACUGAGGUUAAUGUGCAAGUUACCUCUGAAUCAGUGCCUACACUGCUGGGCUGCAGUGAGCACAUCACAAACUAGCCAGAAGACUUUGAACAGAGUCAAUAACUGCUGGACAUUAUGAAGUUUAUAUGCAUAUUAUUUGUAGUUGUUAUAUUUCUGCCAAUUUUUCCUAUUCACAAUGUGCCAAUUGAGCUGAUUCAUAAUGUGUACUUGCUUGUAUAACAUUAAUUUGUGGAUGCUUUUAGUGCCUCUAGCUGUUGGGUAGCAUAUCUGGAAGAAAGGCUUUAUAUAUCACAUACUUAGAAAUAGUUGCCAUGCGUAAGAUGGUUCUCCAAAAUUGGAUGGCAUUAGAUCUUCUCUUAG